rnacentral:rRNA from 1 species
AAUAGAUACCCGGGUAGUCCUUGCCGUAAACUAUGUAUACUUGGUGUAACUGGACUCAACCCUAGUUGUGCCGUAGCUAACGCGAUAAGUAUACCGCCUGAGGAGUACGCUCGCAAGGGUGAAACUCAAAAGAAUUGACGGGGACCCGCACAAGCAGUGGAGCAUGUGGUUUAAUUCGAUGCAACGCGAAGAACCUUACCCAGACUUGACAUGCAGUAGACAGUACUAGAAAUAGUAUCUCCCUUCGGGACUGCUGCACAGGUGCUGCAUGGCUGUCGUCAGCUCGUGCCGUGAGGUGUUGGGUUAAGUCCCGCAACGAGCGCAACCCUUAUCAUUAGUUGCCAACAUUUUAGGUGGGAACUCUAAUGAGACUGCCUGGGUUAACCAGGAGGAAGGUGAGGAUGACGUCAAGUCCGCAUGGCCCUUAUGUCUGGGGCUACACACGUGCUACAAUGGUCGGUACAGAAGGCAGCGAAGCCGCGAGGUGAAGCAAAUCCAAAAAGCCGAUCCCAGUUCAGAUUG